rnacentral:rRNA from 1 species
GACAGAGGGUGCAAACGUUGCUCGGAAUCACUGGGCGUAAAGGGCGCGUAGGCGGGGAUGUAAGUCGGGCGUGAAAUCCCCAGGCUCAACCUGGGAACUGCACUCGAAACUGCGUUUCUUGAGUAUCGGAGAGGAAAGCGGAAUUCCUGGUGUAGAGGUGAAAUUCGUAGAUAUCAGGAGGAACACCAGUGGCGAAGGCGGCUUUCUGGACGGUAACUGACGCUGAGACGCGAAAGCGUGGGGAGCGAACAGG